GGGGCGGCCCAGGCCAGCACUCUGGACUCACAGUCGUGGCUGCCUCUUGCUCCGCCAGGGCCACCCGCCCAGGAGAAGCGGGAUUCUUCCGUGGAGCUGGCAAAGCGACCCUGGGAGAGGACCCUGUCUGGUACGAUCCCCACCACCACCACCGUUCAUCCGGUGCUGCCCAAUCCCCAGUACCACGUAUUUCUGCUGUGCUGGUAACCAAGUGAGAAAAUGAAGAUUUAAACCGGCUCAUUGUUCAAGGCCAGCCUGGACUACAUGGUGAGGCCCUGUCUCAAAAAAAAAGAUUCAGAGGAUUUUUAUUAUGUCUUUUCUCCAGCCUAUAAUAACAAAGAAGGAAACAUACAUUUUAGUUCCAGAGUCCAGAAGUUCAGAAUCGGUAUCAUCACUGCGCAGAAGUCAGAUAUCAUCAGGCUCCAGGGGAGAAUCGUUUCCUCACCUUGCCCCCACCGGGCUUCCGGGGUCUGCGGCGGUUCAUCACUCCAGACAUCAAAGCCAGCAUCUUCAAAUCACUCUGCUCUGCCUUCAUGUUGCCUUCGCCUCUGUGUCACACCUCACUCUGCUUCUCUCUGACAAGGACACUGUGAUGCUACUUAGAUCCCACCUGGGGAUCUAAUCCAAUGGCAAAAAAGAUUCACUUAUCUGCUAGCUGCCCUUCCAGGCCUUGUGGAAUAGGAUCUGGAAGCAGAAUAGCAGUGUGAGAGAGAAGAGC
rnacentral:lncRNA from 1 species